rnacentral:rRNA from 1 species
CCUACNGGUUGCAGCAGUAGGGAAUCUUCGGCAAUGGACGAAAGUCUGACCGAGCAACGCCGCGUGAGUGAAGAAGGUUUUCGGACCGUAAAACUCUGUUGUUAGAGANGNACAAGUAGGANAGUNACUGNUCUUACCUUGACGGUAUCUAACCAGAAAGCCACGGCUAACUACGUGCCAGCAGCCGCGGUAAUACGUAGGUGGCAAGCGUUGUCCGGAUUUAUUGGGCGUAAAGCGAGCGCAGGCGGUCUUUUAAGUCUGAUGUGAAAGCCCUCGGCUCAACCGAGGAAGGUCAUUGGAAACUGGAGGACUUGAGUGCAGAAGAGGAGAGUGGAAUUCCAUGUGUAGCGGUGAAAUGCGUAGAUAUAUGGAGGAACACCAGUGGCGAAGGCGACUCUCUGGUUUGUAACUGACGCUGAGGCUCGAAAGCGUGGGGAGCAAACAGGAUUAGAUACCCGUGUAGUC